CACCAAGUCGACGAUCAGUAGCCGGACUGAGAGGUUGACGGCCACAUUGGGACUGAGACACGGCCCAGACUCCUACGGGAGGCAGCAG
rnacentral:rRNA from 1 species